UCGCCCCUCAAGCCCCGUGCUUGGUGUUGGACGGCCGGUCGAGCGAUCGACCCCUCCUAAAGACAAUGACGGCGGCCUGUGGUUCCCCCGGUACACUGAGCUUUCCACGGAGCACGUAUCGGACAAGGGCACCCGGGACCCGGUCCUCUCCUUUCACAUAAGGAAACUUCUAU
rnacentral:misc_RNA from 1 species